AACUCUCCUGUUAAAGUGUCAAGCAUAUGGAGGUGGGAUCAGAAUUCAGAAUUACCAGAAGAGGAACAAAAGUCAACUGUACCUUUUGAAAGCCGCCGUUACUUGAAGCAUCGAAGUUCGUGCCGACAAUUCCUGUUCUUUUGUGUUUCGUUGACACCUGGAAUUAACGACCCAUCCAAGAGCUGAAAGUGUCAGCAAAGGAAUUCUGUACAAUAGUUAAGAAAGUGAGAGAUACAAGAGCUAUUAUUCUUUCUUUUUAGCCAAAAUCCACUGCUCCAAGCCUCCAACCUCCAAAUUCUAGUUCGACCUCAAUCAUUCUUCUUACGAAAUAUAUGUUUUUUUCGUUUUGACCCUUUGUUUUUUUUUUUUUAAUGCAUGCAGUUCGAUACCCACUACCCUCCUCAGUUCUUGAUCUGAUUAAUUUUAUAUUUGUUGCUGCUCGAAUGGGCUUUCAUUGUGUAGAGGGAAAUUGGGGUUUGAUGCUUUUUUCAAUCUGAGGGAGAACUGUUGCAGAUUUGGGGGAAGAACCAUGGCAAUGCCGUGGAGCAUGUCUCUCUGGUUGGCCAAGAUGGUGUGGGUGGCUUUGUGUAGCUGGGUCUCCUCGUGCUUGAUGGUCGCUGAUGAGAUUGCGAGUGCUCUCAGAAGCGGUGAUGUCAGCCCUUUCAAUGUUGGGUGAUGAACCUGUGUUUUCAUUAAUUUGUUCAGGCAAAGCAAUUGUAUAUUGAAAGCCCCAGUUCUAUGAUGGCAAUUUUCAGCAUCACCACAGAAUAUAAAGACCGUCGUUGUAUUACAUGAUUGGUUGGAUGGACCACUGGAAAGCUCAACUAGAGAAUUUUCUAGUGCUAUAACAAAGCAUUAAUUCAUUCAAAAUCAAAUCUUAGUGCUGCAUGCCUCCUAUAGCCAUGAUUUUGCAUCUGGUUUCAUAGGAAACCAGGUCGGCAAGAUGGAUGGUUCUAUCUUCAGCCUUGUUGGUAGAAUAAGCAAUGGAAGGUUCAUCAUCAUCCUUGUGCAUACUACCUCUUCCAGCAACAUGCAACCGAUUGAGCUUCAUUUCAGGGACUGGAGUAAAAUGGCAAAUCCAUCUUUGAAUGUGCUGCUGGCCCCCUAAAGUGGUAGAAGUGUGAAUUCUUGUGAAUGAAAUUGUUUCUCUCUUUCCUUCAAGUUAGCUACUAAUCUAUUGUGCAGGUUGAAUGCACUGAAACAGUAAGAAUAUUUUGAACAGUGUGUAAUAUUUUUUUUACACCCACCAUGAUUACAUGAUAUACAUACAAAAGGAAUGUAGUUGCCCCCUUCAAUUCGUGCAAAACCGUGUUGUAAUUAGCAGCAUCUUUUUUUGUACAGAUACCAUUACCUUAAUUAAUUGUCUCGGUUUUAUGA